UCUAAUACCGGAUACCACUACCGCAGGCAUCUGUGGUGGUUGAAAGCUCCGGCGGUGAAGGAUGAGCCCGCGGCCUAUCAGCUUGUUGGUGAGGUAAUGGCUCACCAAGGCGACGACGGG
rnacentral:rRNA from 1 species